CACUACUGUCCUGGCUUGAGGUGAUGCUGAAUACACAAGGACAAUGAGAGAUCACCUCUAACAGGAGCGGACGGUUGUAACUGGCCUCCACAUUAUGGUUGGUCACAAACCGGAUCUUCAAGAAACUCAUGGAAGCUGAAAACUCCAGUUCCCCAAGCAGUUCCGUGGGAGGGGAGGAAUGAAGCAGAACGGAUACAGCACUCGUGGUGGGUGCCGAUAAACCCAUCCCGAGCUGACUGCCAGGGUCUGAAAAGGCAACAGCAGCCUCAAAUACCUAUCUUGGAGCUGCAGCCUUACGCUCAGC